GAUAGAUCAAGAUUCCCUGGAAUGGGUUUUGGUCCAAAUGGCGGUACCAGCAUCUUGUUAUUCCCGCUCGAAGAAUGGGACUGCGNCCGAUCAGGCUUGUUGGUGGGGUAAAGGCCCACCAACCCAGUAACCGGUACGGGCUUUGAGAGAAGAAGCCCGGAGAUGGACACUGAGACAAGGGUCCAGGUCCUACGGGGCGCAGCAGGCGCGAAACCUUCGCAAUGCGCGCAAGCGCGACGAGGUUAUUCUGAGUGAUUCCCGCUGAGGGAAUCUUUUCUUAGAUCUAAAAAGUCUGGGGAAUAAGGGGAGGGCAAGUCUGGUGUCAGCCGCCGCGGUAAUACCAGCUCCUCGAGUGGUCAGGGCGUUUAUUGGGCCUAAAGCAUCCGUAGCCUGCUCAGUAGGUCUCCUGUUAAAUCCAACGGCUCAACCGUUGGUCUGCAGGAGAUACCGCUGGGCUAGGAGGCGGGAGAGGCGGACGGUACUCCGAGGGUAGGGGUAAAAUCCUUUGAUCCCCGGAAGACCACCAGUGGCGAAGGCGGUCCGCCAGAACGCGCUCGACGGUGAGGGAUGAAAGCUGGGGGAGCGAACCGGAUUAGAUACCCGGGUAGUCCCAGCUGUAAACGAUGCGAGCUAGGUGACACUAGGCCUUCGGGGCAUAGUGGUGCCGCAGGGAAGCCGUUAAGCUCGCCGCCUGGGGAGUACGGACGCAAGUCUGAAACUUAAAGGAAUUGGCGGGGGAGCACAAGGGCGAAUUCCAGCACACUGGCGGCCGUUACUAGUGGAUGCUUGUGCCCGAGCUCGGUACCAA
rnacentral:rRNA from 1 species